GUUUUCUAGCUGCAGUUGUCAAGAAGGGCUCUGGGCUGAAACUUGAAUGAAUUGAGGGAGAGAACCAUGUAAUCCCUUAUGCGUGAGUGUGUGUGUGUGUGUGUGUCUGUCUGUGUGUGCAUGCAUGUAUUCGUAGGGGGAUAAUGUGGCUAAAUUAGAGCAAGAGGAGUGUGGAUAAAGAGAAGUAGCCAAGGUCCAGGUUCUGCAGUGAUAAGAGCAGACAUUUUUAGGUUUGGAGAGAAGUUUAUUUCACUUUUCUCCCCAAAGGAGCUGCUCUUGAAUGUGCAUGGACACCUUUUCCCUGCCUAGCAAUAUAAAAGGACAUUGGAAGCAUUCUGAAUCCUCAAGAUGAGCACUUUGCAAUAAAUAAAAGUUUAAUGAAACCCAGUUUCGGCAACAAUGCUGUAUUAGUUCGUUCUCACACUGCUAUGAAGAAAUACUCAAGACUGCGUAAUUUAUAAAGAAAAGUUUAAUUGACUCACAGUUCUGCAUGGCUGGGGAGCCCUCAGGAAACUUACAAUCAUGGCAGAAGGCACGUCUUCACAGGGCAGCAGGAGAAAGAAUGAGUACCAGCAGGGGAAAUGCCAGAUGCUUACAAAACCGUCAGAUCUUGUGAGAACUCACUUACUAUCUGGAGAACACCAUGGGAGAAAAUGCCCCCAUGAUCUAAUUACCUUCACCUCGUCCUGCCCUUGACACAUGGGGCUUAUGAGGAUUACAAUUCAAGGGGAGAUCUGGAUGAGAACACAGAACCAAACCAUAUCAGAUGCCCCAAAACAAACUUUUGUGUACUUCUUGCUGAAGAAGUGAGUUGAUGUGGAUUCUUUGGAAACAAUUAAAAAAUGUCUGUUACUUAAUUGGCAUUGGUAAUAUGUUCACAGUAAUUGCAGUUUAGAAAUAUAUUUUAAGAUUUAGCUGCACCCCAGAAAAUGCCACCUAAAUUUAUAGUGCCAGAAAACAGAUCAUUGGUUGCCUAGGGAAGGGGAUAGGAAGAAGGGUGUCAAUUCAAAGGGACAACUUUUGGGGCUGGUAUAUACAUUCACUGUGUUGAUUUUCAUGAUGGUUUGAAGAGUGGCAAAAUCUAGAAAAUUCUAUGCUUCAUACGCAAUCAUUACAUUUCAAUUAUACCUCAAAUCUGUUGAUAGAGAUAUGUACAAAUAUAAAAAAAUUUUGUCAAAAGUCCCUUGCAUGAUCAUUUGAAAAAGGACCAACCUGUACGCAAUCUCCUACAUGCAUUGUAUCUACCAAAAAAUUGUUAACUAGAAAAUAUUCACAAACUACCCUUUAUUCAUAAGUUACUUUAAAAAACAGAAUAAAUAAAAGUAUGUACAAAACAACACUAGAAGCAAAUUGAUAGAAAACUUACAGAGAAUGUUUUCUUUAUUCAAAAUGUGCACAUUUUCUAAUAUUGUUUUACUGUGAAUUUUAUUUUUUAAAAAGAAGAAAAAUAUUUUAACAGAUAAAUAAGACAUAGACACUAUGAAAGACUGUAUUCACUGAGUAAAUCAUGCCAAAUUAUUUCUUUGGUUGCUAUGGGGCAACUAAACUGUUAUAUUCUGUUGUUAAACUAAAGAGAAAGCAUUUUAAUUUAAGCAAAGUAUACAGCAAAGGGUUGAUUGUAUGUUGUUUGAGAAAAAAAAAAUGAUAGCUCAGUUUGCUUCACUUUGGCUAUGGUUUGAAUGUCCGUUCAAUUUUAAAGUCUGUGCAGUGCUAUUGGGAUCUAUCCUGAAUGUUUAUCCCCCAUGGAUAUGUAUGGGACUGGAAGGUUUUCUGUUACUUCACUUCUCAAAGUCUUUAUUUAGUUUGCUGACUAGGAUCAGAUUCACACAUGUGCAGCUCUGGGAAAGAAGCCCAGGAUUUUUAUGAAUAAUUUUAUGGCUUUGAUUUCCUGAGCCUUCUUUGCAAUUUCUGCAGUACUUUCUGGUUCCCCUGGGCUUCCCUUUUUAGUCCUUUGGCCAGAAAGUUGGUGUUUUCGUUACUUCACUCUGGCACAGACUUCUGUGGCUGUGCCCACAUCUGGGGUCAAAACAAAAUAGCAAGGAACAAUUGUGAAGAUAAUUCAGCUCACACUUUUAGGACCACAGCACCAUUGAUUGGACAGGAAGAUUUUGAUCCCUAAUACAUUUGGUUCCUGUGGGGUCCCUUGCAGGUGUUACUGUUAUAGACAGGAUUGUUUCGACCUAGGAAUAAAGGACCUCUGCUAGAACUCUCUGUGUCUCAGUGCUCACUUCAGGUUUUGGCUUAAUAUGACCUUAGGCAGGGGGUAAUAGAAAAAUAAAACUGGUAGACUCACCACUGAUUCCUUGAUGCUUCAAGUUGCCAUUCUUUCCUGACUUUCUGGCAACUAUUUGGUAUUCAGAGUUCUCAAACAGCAAAUGCAUGCAUUCUGCCCAGAUUUCAUAGCUGCAUUCAGAGGGAAAGACAUGGUGGAGUGUGCUUGCCCCAACGCUUAGAAUUAAAACCCAAACAAAUACUUUUUAUUUAAUAAAUUUGCUACAAGUCUUUUUCUAUUAAAUUCAGUUCCAGUGGGUCCCUUAACUGUUCCUUUGACUAAAGCAUAUGACUGGAGUCAAUAAAAUUUACAUAUUGUUAUGAUUUUACUUAAGAAUAUGUGCAUAUAAAUAUUUCACUUUAAAAUUAGCUUUAUGCAUAUCCAUUUUUCUCAAGCUCUCCCUUUGUUCACUUCAGCAGUGGUCCAGCCCUGAUUGUCUCUUUAAG
rnacentral:lncRNA from 10 species